AGCGAAACGGGAAGAGCCCAAACCAACAAGCUUGCUUGUUGGGGUUGUAGGACACUCUAUACGGAGUUACAAAGGACGACAUUAGACGAAUCAUCUGGAAAGAUGAAUCAAAGAAGGUAAUAAUCCUGUAGUCGAAAAUGUUGUCUCUCUUGAGUGGAUCCUGAGUACGACGGAGCACGUGAAAUUCCGUCGGAAUCUGGGAGGACCAUCUCCUAAGGCUAAAUACUCUCUAGUGACCGAUAGUGAACCAGUACCGUGAGGGAAAGGUGAAAAGCACCCCGGAAGGGGAGUGAAAUAGAACCUGAAACCGUGUGCUUACAAGUAGUCAGAGCCCGUUAAUGGGUGAUGGCGUGCCUUUUGUAGAAUGAACCGGCGAGUUACGAUUUGAUGCAAGGUUAAGCAGUAAAUGUGGAGCCGUAGCGAAAGCGAGUCUGAAUAGGGCGUUUAGUAUUUGGUCGUAGACCCGAAACCAGGUGAUCUACCCUUGGUCAGGUUGAAGUUCAGGUAACACUGAAUGGAGGACCGAACCGACUUACGUUGAAAAGUGAGCGGAUGAACUGAGGGUAGCGGAGAAAUUCCAAUCGAACCUGGAGAUAGCUGGUUCUCUCCGAAAUAGCUUUAGGGCUAGCCUCAAGUGAUGAUUAUUGGAGGUAGAGCACUGUUUGGACGAGGGGCCCCUCUCGGGUUACCGAAUUCAGACAAACUCCGAAUGCCAAUUAAUUUAACUUGGGAGUCAGAACAUGGGUGAUAAGGUCCGUGUUCGAAAGGGAAACAGCCCAGACCACCAGCUAAGGUCCCAAAAUAUAUG
rnacentral:rRNA from 1 species